GCCACGAGCAGCGGGAAGCAGGGAAGUGAGGUCAAAGUCAACGGUGGGGUUCGCGUCUGGACGACUGCUAUUAUAGUCCUAAUGAGGCUUAAACACCACACGUUGCUCCUGCGAUGAACUCGGUUUCUCAUUAUGCUCCAUAUCUGCUCCAGGAUCAGCCAGCCACAUGGCAGGAGUGGUUUCCCCUUCAUCCGGCUGAUGAAUUAUCAAGGGCCAUCAGAAAACAUCCUGGUUUUUCUUCAAAUUUAGAACACUUGGUUGGACAGGAUGAAGCUCCAUCUGCUGUGGAGUUGCCUAACUCAGCUCAAGAACAAGCUUGCAGGCACUUGGAUUUCCAACACAGUGGCCCAACCAGCAGUAUGAAGAGAUGCCUAGACUCCUCUUUCCAACCCCAUGGGUCCCUGCCAGUAGCUUACUAUCACAAAACGAAUUAUAUGAUAAAUAUUUG
ensembl:lncRNA